rnacentral:rRNA from 1 species
UACGUAGGGUGCGAGCGUUGUCCGGAAUUAUUGGGCGUAAAGAGCUUGUAGGCGGUUUGUCGCGUCUGCUGUGAAAAUCCGGGCUCAACCCGGACUUGCAGUGGGUACGGGCAGACUAGAGUGUGGUAGGGGAGACUGGAAUUCCUGGUGUAGCGGUGAAAUGCGCAGAUAUCAGGAGGAACACCGAUGGCGAAGGCAGGUCUCUGGGCCAUUACUGACGCUGAGAAGCGAAAGCAUGGGGAGCGAACAGG